UACAGAGGGGGCAAGCGUUGUUCGGAUUUACUGGGCGUAAAGCGCACGUAGGCGGAUCUUUAAGUCAGAGGUGAAAUCCCAAGGCUCAACCUUGGAACUGCCUUUGAUACUGGGGAUCUUGAGUCCGGGAGAGGUGAGUGGAACUGCGAGUGUAGAGGUGAAAUUCGUAGAUAUUCGCAAGAACACCAGUGGCGAAGGCGGCUCACUGGCCCGGUACUGACGCUGAGGUGCGAAAGCGUGGGGAGCGAACAGG
rnacentral:rRNA from 1 species